GGGGUGUUGUCAGAACAGGGGAUCUCUGUUUACAACACACACAACAGAAAUCUGGGUUCACUGUGACAAGCGGCACAAAACCCAUGGCCGUCUUAUGAAUAAAUAACUAACAUGU
rnacentral:snoRNA from 1 species